GGUACCUACGGGGCGCAGCAGUGAGGAAUAUUGGUCAAUGGGCGCGAGCCUGAACCAGCCAAGUCGCGUGAGGGAUGACGGUCCUACGGAUUGUAAACCUCUUUUGCCGGGGAGCAAGCGUGCGUUCGUGAACGCGCGUCGAGAGUACCCGGAGAAAAAGCAUCGGCUAACUCCGUGCCAGCAGCCGCGGUAAUACGGAGGAUGCGAGCGUUAUCCGGAUUUAUUGGGUUUAAAGGGUGCGUAGGCGGAACAUUAAGUCAGCGGUAAAAUCGAGGGGCUCAACCCCUUUAAGCCGUUGAAACUGG
rnacentral:rRNA from 1 species